AAGGAUGGUUGGCUGCUGAUCUUGAGUAUACCAAAAGUGUUGAAGUAUGUGGAUCGUUGUCUGCAAUACAUUGCGAUAGCCAGUAUGUGAUAAGCAAAUUUACUUACUGGUGGUAUGGGAUUGGAGCUAUAUGCGAAGUUGAAAAAAAAUCUGAUAUUAACAGCUGCAUCGAAAACGUUUUAAAGUUGUGUUUCAGACAUCAAAGUUGUGGCC
rnacentral:lncRNA from 1 species